CAGCCGCCGCGGUAAUACGGAGGGGGCUAGCGUUGUUCGGAAUUACUGGGCGUAAAGCGCACGUAGGCGGCUUGGUAAGUUAGAGGUGAAAGCCUGGAGCUCAACUCCAGAAUUGCCUUUAAGACUGCCGAGCUAGCAGGUGAGAGAGGUAAGUGGAAUUCCGAGUGUAGAGGUGAAAUUCGUAGAUAUUCGGAAGAACACCAGUGGCGAAGGCGGCUUACUGGCUCAUACUGGACGCUGAGGCGCGAAAGCGUGGGGAGCAAACAGGAUUAGAUACCCGGGUAGUCCCUGUCUCUUAUAC
rnacentral:rRNA from 1 species